rnacentral:lncRNA from 7 species
GGACCUCAAGAGAUCAUCGAGCCUAACUCCCCAGCUAAAGCAGCUACCCUACAAUAGGUCACAAUGUGUUUUAUUUAUUACUGUAGCAAGCAACAAAUUCAAGGUCAGGUACUGGGUAUGGCUAAAACAACAGAAAGCCAGCUGACAAUGGAUGGUAAUUGGGCUAAGGCAGUAAAGCCUCCUCUUUUCAUGAUGGUAUGCCCUUGCUUGAUGUUUUAUAGAAAAUAUGUCAUCUGUUCUCUGAUGUAGGAAGACCAAUAAAGUCACAGAGUAAAAAGUUUGCAUGUUUCUUCAUGGACAAAAAAACACGCAACCUCCUUUAGAAGCCUAUAUAUCCCUCACUGCAAGGUCUAUGGUGGUUAAAAACUGGAAUUGUUUGCAAGUCAAAAUGAUGGCGGCAUUUAAAACUGGUUCCCAAACAAGUAAGUAGCAAGUUCACUACCCCAUCAUAGUAAAUAUCACAUAAUCUCUUUAUGCUAUCAUUUGGGAAUGCGCAGUGCCACUUCUACCAUUAUUUGGGGUUUGCACAAAACCACCAUAAAGGAUUAAGCACAAGAUGUGAAGAGGCAGCCAGAUGGAAGCAUAAAGCACUCUUCCAACACGCUCUUGGCAUUUUCCUACUUAGCAGUUGGAUUUGGUACCCUCUGCCUAAAGCAGCAUGCAUGCUACUGGGGAAGACAUCCAAUGUCCCCUUUCGGAGAAGGCAGGUUUAUCUCUGCUUCUGUGAAGGCACCAUCCAGGCCUCAAAGGGACUCAAAGCACAUGAAAAUGGGGAGAGAUGGUCACACUGAGUGGUGAGGACAUUGAUAACCAAGGACAAGGGAAAGAAGACAUUGAUGCUCUGCCUGGGAUAAGGAGCAACCAGAGGAAGGCAAACGGGAAUUUAUAACAUUCCCAUUGCAAAGAUGUUACUAACUUCAGGUGUCACUCCACAAACACCUUUGGGAAGUGCAGCAUGUUAACUGGAUUGAGCCGCAAUCAGAAUGGAGUCAGAUUUGGGAAGAACAAAUAAGCAUGUCUGCAUAUGUCCACCUUAGAGUAUGACCACCUCUGUGAGGCAUGGAACUAUAUGGAACUGAUAUGGGACAGUCACCUGGCAAAUUAUAUUAUUUGUACAAAACAUGAGACUGAUUUAUGACAGAACCAAGAUAUUCUCUCAAGCUGUCAAAGCGAUAAAAUAAAGAGAUACUGAGUGGAAAACACUGGACUGCCACAGGCUAAGCUGAAAGAUUUUUUUUUAUACGAAGAUUUAGUUAAUUUCUCCAAGAGGAAAAGUGACCACAAAGAAGUACAUUGCACACCAACCUGUUCCUCUUGCCUGCCAGAAGAAAGAGGUGGACUGGAAUAGCAUCCUCAGCAGGUAACAUUAUUUGCAAGAUAACUAAAAAUACUGAAGACUGAAGCUUCCACUCCACGUUAUCUUAAGAAUUAUGAAAUGGUGCUGCUGUCCAAAAAUACUGAACUAGGGCUUGACAUAUGUACCACCCACAAAGUUACAUUUGGACUCAGGACCAACAUUUUGAAAAACCAGGCCAAAUCGCACCAGGAGCCAAAAGAGAUGUCAGAACGGAAGAACUGGGACUGACAUGAUGUUACUCAUAUGCAAACUGGAAUCUGCUCUAAAUACACACACACACACACAAAAAAAAAAAACCCAUCAGAAGCUGCUAAAUACCAAAGACAAUCUAUCAAAUAAUUUUUUGCAGUACCUGCCAUCAUUAGUAGUACUUUAAAUAUUUGUUAAGUAAGAGACUAUCAAAGCUAUACACACAUUGCUGGGCUGGAGCUUGAAACACUACUCAUCUCCUAAAUACAGACUACAGAGCCAAAAUCCUAGAGAAUUUCUUACAUGCGUUAAGCCUUCUUCUGUUCUUAAAAUUAGUCUUCUGAAAGCAUGCACAAAUUCAUCAACAGAAAUGUAGAAGAUGCAAAUAUACAAUUAAAAAUUUUUAGU